rnacentral:rRNA from 1 species
UACGUAGGGUGCAAGCGUUAAUCGGAAUUACUGGGCUUAAAGGGUUUGUAGGCGGCCAUGUAAGUCAGGUGUGAAAUCCCUCGGCUCAACCGAGGAACGGCGCUUGAUACUGCAUGGCUUGAGGGAGACAGGGGUAAGCGGAACUGAUGGUGGAGCGGUGAAAUGCGUUGAUAUCAUCAGGAACACCGGUGGCGAAAGCGGCUUACUGGGUCUCUUCUGACGCUGAGGAACGAAAGCUAGGGUAGCGAACGGG